UACGGAGGGGGCUAGCGUUGUUCGGAAUUACUGGGCGUAAAGCGCACGUAGGCGGCUUUGUAAGUUAGAGGUGAAAGCCCGGGGCUCAACUCCGGAAUUGCCUUUAAGACUGCAUCGCUAGAAUUGUGGAGAGGUAAGUGGAAUUCCGAGUGUAGAGGUGAAAUUCGUAGAUAUUCGGAAGAACACCCGUGGCGAAGGCGGCUCUCUGGAACGCAACUGACGCUGAGACGCGAAAGCGUGGGGAGCAAACAGG
rnacentral:rRNA from 1 species